rnacentral:rRNA from 1 species
CCUACGGGAGGCAGCAGUGAGGAAUAUUGGUCAAUGGGCGCGAGCCUGAACCAGCCACGUAGCGUGAAGGAUGACUGCCCUACGGGUUGUAAACUUCUUUUGUAAAGGAAUAAAGUGAGGCACGUGUGCCUUGUUGUCUGUACUUUAUGAAUAAGGAUCGGCUAACUCCGUGCCAGCAGCCACGGUAAUACGGAGGAUCCGAGCGUUAUCCGGAUUUAUUGGGUUUAAAGGGGGAGUAGAUGGGUUGUUAAGUCAGUUGUGAAAGUUUGCGGCUUAACCGGAAAAUUGCAAUUGAAACUGGCAGUCUUGAGUACAGUUGAGGUAGGCGGAAUUCGUGGUGUAGCGGUGAAAUGCGUAGAGAUCACGAAGAACUCCGAUUGCGAAGGCAGCCUGCUGGACUGUAACUGACGCUGAUGCUCGAAAGUGUGGGGAGCAAACAGGAUUAGAUACCCCAGUAGUC